UGGCGACCGGGCGCACGGGUGAGUAACGCGUAUCCAACCUGCCCUUUACUAUGGGACAGCCCGUCGAAAGGCGGAUUAAUACCGUAUGUUGUCAUGUUGAUGCAUAUUUUCAUGACCAAAGGCUUCGGCCGGUAAAGGAUGGGGAUGCGUCUGAUUAGCUUGCCGGCGGGGUAACGGCCCACCGGGGCGACGAUCAGUAGGGGUUCUGAGAGGAAGGUCCCCCCACAUUGGAACUGAGACACGGUCCAAACUCCUACGGGAGGCAGCAG
rnacentral:rRNA from 1 species